GCUCUUGGUCAGAAGGUCCGACAGGUUUGGGAUCAUCCAAUAAACGCUAAUUUAAUGGCACGGAAAUACGUGAAGCUCUUGCUCGAGAAGCUGGGGAACAGGCAGUGUAGCAGGCCUGUCCCUGAGAGGCUCUCGGUCCCUGUAGAGUUUUUGCCGCUUAACUACCUGACCAGUGUGUUGGCAGAGAUAGAGAAUCAAGGUGUGCAGCCACAUGAGAAACCAGAGCACAUUCAUGUGAGAUUUGUUGAGGAAACGGCACUGAAACACACCAUGACGCUUUUGGGCCUCAAAUAUUCCUGAAGUCACCUCUCCUGGAGAAGGCUGCCUAGCUGUGGUUCUCAUCAGAAGUACUCCCAGGUCAUCUGCAGCUUUGGGAAGCCACCAUUACAGACAUAAGCUGCUUAAAGCAGUGUUUGGUCCAACGUAUUAACAGUGAAAUUACUGACUUUGAGAUACAUCUUACAGAAAUGCAUCUGACACAACCGCAGGUUUGAAAGGUGUCUGUGGUUUCGUUUUGAAGUGAUCAAAUAAGUGGAGCUACAGCGAGUAUCAAAACAUGCGGUGAAAAUUGGUAUCGGUGUCAGUUAUUUUAGCAGCUAGACAAUCCUGGAAAAGGUAGUCCAGUGGUAUUGUGCUGUAACGAGGCCAGUAAUAUUUACUCAUUUAGAUUAAUAAAAGUAUUUCGUGGUGUGAUUGUGUGAAGCAGGUAAGAAUAACAAACGAAUCAGUUCUUGUAUAUAAUGCAUCAGUAAUGACGUGUUCGAGCCUUGUGCUGGCCACGUGUUACCUCACGGUACUGCUGCCUUUGGAGUUGGGUUCUAGUGUAUUCAGUUUCAUAAUUAGCACAAAAUAUAAUCUCCUUAAAGAGCACGAGGCAUGGUUCUGUUGUUUGUUUGUUAAGAUGUGUGUAAUAUAUUGUAAGCAAGACAGGAUAAGAAAGUUCUGUAGAAAUUUAUCUUAACAGUAGCUUGGAUGAAGUUUUACUUAUUUUUUUCCAUACAACUUUCAUGCUACAGUGCAAACCUCAGCUUCAGAAGGAAAUUAUGGAGGUUGCCUUUCCUUCAUUUUCAGCUGUUAUUUGUACAAAAGUCCAGUGUUGCUUGGUUGGUUGGUGUUGGUUUAAGUUCUGAACUGUGACAUUAAUUUACAACAGUAAUAGUGGUUUGCUAUGCAGAGAAAGUUUUAAGUUCUGACAUACAGGAUUUCUGCAGUCUCCAUUGGAUUGAAAAACAACUUUAUCAAAGCUUCAGACAAUUAAACUAAUGAAACUCAUUGCCAAGUUCAUAGAUGUUGGAGGUUUUCAGGAACAACCUCUGGUGCUCUCUCUGAGGAGUUUUCACUGGUGCUUCCUGUUCCUUACCAAUGAAAUCAAAAGGUCCUGUUCUCAGGAGUGACUCAGAAGUUCAUGGUCAUUCCCUUGUCGUUACCAUCAGUGGAGCAAUAGUUUUAGCCUUCCCAGGAACUCCACAGAGGGAAGGAAUAUUUUCCUCAGUACAACUAAAAUUCGUCUGGCCAGUGUAAAGUCCAGUCCCAGGCUGCAGAAAGCUGUGCUGGUGUGUUUGUGUAAGCGGUGGGGACUUUGUAUCACAGGAAUAACACGAGAAGAUUUUCUAGCAUUUUCUUUUUAAUGAAAUGUAUUAGAAAAUAUCAUCAAAUGCAAUAAAACUUCACCUGGAAAAAAUAAA
ensembl:lncRNA